rnacentral:rRNA from 1 species
UACGUAGGGUGCGAGCGUUGUCCGGAAUUAUUGGGCGUAAAGAGCGUGUAGGCGGUUUGGUAGGUCCGCUGUGAAAACUCGAGGCUCAACCUCGAGACGCCGAUGGAAACCAUCAGACUAGAGUCCGGAAGAGGAGAGUGGAAUUCCUGGUGUAGCGGUGAAAUGCGCAGAUAUCAGGAAGAACACCCGUGGCUAAGGCGGCUCUCUAGUACGGUACUGACGCUGAGACGCGAAAGCGUGGGGAGCGAACAGG